rnacentral:rRNA from 1 species
AUUGAACGCUGGCGGCAGGCCUAACACAUGCAAGUCGAGCGGAAACGAUCCUAGCUUGCUAGGAGGCGUCGAGCGGCGGACGGGUGAGUAACGCGCGAGAAUCUACCCAUGAGUGGGGGACAACCCGGGGAAACUCGGGCUAAUACCGCAUACGCCCUACGGGGUAAAGCAGGGGACCUUCGGGCCUUGCGCUGAUGGAUGAGCUCGCGUCGGAUUAGCUUGUUGGUGAGGUAAAGGCUCACCAAGGCGACGAUCCGUAGCUGGUCUGAGAGGAUGAUCAGCCACACCGGGACUGAGACACGGCCCGGACUCCUACGGGAGGCAGCAGUGGGGAAUCUUGGACAAUGGGGGCAACCCUGAUCCAGCCAUGCCGCGUGUGUGAAGAAGGCCUUCGGGUUGUAAAGCACUUUCAGCAGGGAGGAAGGCUUACCCCUAAUACGGGUGAGUACUUGACGUUACCUGCAGAAGAAGCACCGGCUAAUUUCGUG